UCUCUUUGCAUCCGUCUUAACACAAUCAUCCUCUUCCCUUCUCUCUGUCACGAGACUCUCAAAAAAUGAAACCAAAGGACAGAUUCUUCGAUAAAGGUCCCUGUAAGGGCUCCUUCACCAUGCAUGUGUCUGGCUCUUUGAGAAUUGUGAGCAAUUGCCAUGGCCAGAAGGAACCUUUCCUUGGAGCUGAAGCUGAUGAUGAUGAUGAUGCUUCCUCUGGAAUGUUACUUGUGGACGAUAGUCCAUUGUUCUUCUGAUCCGGUGCUAUCCUACCUGAGCUUUUAAAUUACUCACUAUAGGGUCUCUUCUUCAUCUAAGUUCUACCCCCCAUUUUUCCCGUCUUCUUCUGUCAUUUGUGUUUCUUAUUUGAGUCUUCUUGACCUUGUAAGACCUUUUCUUGACCUUGUAAGACCCCAUGUGGGGUCUGUGGUCUUUGUUCUCACUUCUGUGAAAGACUCUAUAUCAGAAUCUGCUGAUAUAGUGUUUGAUCCCUCUGUUUCCCUUUUUCCGCCCAACUCAUCUUCUCCUUCCUUGUCUAUCCCUCCUGAGCUGUUUCAGUUUUCGGCCAAGCAUGCAACAAUUCCUAUUAAUAUGACAUGACACCAAAAAAAAAAAAAACUACAAAGGAAAAGCCCUUGAAACCCCUCAAAAAGGGCUUCUUGAAAUGUGCCAGCAAUGCAGAUGAAGCUUGACUUGAAGUAGACUUUAGGGGCUGGUUUUUGCUUUUAUGAUUGUGGUAAGAGGAAGCCCAGAUCGAGAGUAAUAAUAGUUAAAGAAAGAUGGGGAUGUUGUGUGAGAGUUGAAAAGCCAAGUGCGUAUCAAGUUAUUCUGUUAAGGCAAUCAAUUUUCGCUUUUGUAUCAUAGUGUGUGCAGAAUGUUUAUGCUGUUUCUGCUGCUGCUGCUUCUGCUGUAGUUGCAGGCAUCUCAGUUUCGUUGUUUUAUAUGUUGUUUGGCUAAGAAAGUGUCUACAUAUUCUCUUUGAUCUCUGCCCUUUAA